rnacentral:rRNA from 1 species
UGCAGUCGAGCGGUAACAUUUCAAAGCUUGCUUUGAAGAUGACGAGCGGCGGACGGGUGAGUAAUGCUUGGGAAUAUGCCUUAUGGUGGGGGACAACAGUUGGAAACGACUGCUAAUACCGCAUAAUGUCUACGGACCAAAGGGGGGGAUCUUCGGACCUCUCGCCAUUUGAUUAGCCCAAGUGAGAUUAGCUAGUUGGUGAGGUAAUGGCUCACCAAGGCGACGAUCUCUAGCUGGUUUGAGAGGAUGAUCAGCCACACUGGGACUGAGACACGGCCCAGACUCCUACGGGAGGCAGCAGUGGGGAAUAUUGCACAAUGGGCGCAAGCCUGAUGCAGCCAUGCCGCGUGUGUGAAGAAGGCCUUCGGGUUGUAAAGCACUUUCAGUAAGGAGGAAAGGGAUGUAGUUAAUAGCUGCAUUCUGUGACGUUACUUACAGAAGAAGCACCGGCUAACUUCGUGCCAGCAGCCGCGGUAAUACGAGGGGUGCAAGCGUUAAUCGGAAUUACUGGGCGUAAAGCGUUCGUAGGCGGUUGAUUAAGCAAGAUGUGAAAGCCCAGGGCUCAACCUUGGAACUGCAUUUUGAACUGGUCAACUAGAGUACUGUAGAGGGUGGUGGAAUUUCCA